ACAAUAAUCCCUAGAGCGGGACGGGCGAGAAGACGAAGAAGGCAGAAAAGAAGAAGUGCGGGGUCUUGUAAGUUCGUCCUAUUAAGGCGAGAGAAUGUUAGAGGCUCACGGAGAUGCAAGCUCGCCCCUCUGACGCUGCCCAAGUUCCAUCCGUGUGUGGGACGAGAACCGAGGCCUCCAGCUACAAUCUCGAGCUCGACAGGGAUUUCCUGUGCCCGAUAUGCAUCCAGACGAUCAAAGACGCGUUUUUGACGAGCUGCGGCCACAGCUUUUGCUAUAUGUGCAUCAUGACGCAUCUAAACAUCAAGAGCAACUGUCCCUGCUGUGGAGCUUACUUGACCAGCGGCCAGCUCUACCCAAAUUUCCUUCUCAACAAGAUUUUGAGGAAGGCGAGUGUGUGCCAAGUUGCCAGCUCUGCGUCACCGGGAGAGCACCUGCGGCUUGCUCUCAAACAGGGAGCAGACAUCUCGAUGAAAGACAUCGAUACACUUUUGAGUUUGUUGACUGAAAAGAAACGCAAGGCCGAACGGGAGGAGGCUGAAACAAAUUUGGAGGUCUUGCAUGAUUUCUUGCAGCGGUCAAGGCAACAGAAGCAGCAAGAGUUAAACGAGAUACAAACAGACCUGCAAUGGCUCAAGGAAGACAUUGCUGCUGUUGAAAAGCAGGCGACUAGCUUGAAGAAAUCCAAAGAACGUCAUGCGUCGCCUGUUCACCAAAAGCUUCCUAGCUCUCGCUGUCGCGCCAAGGCGUCCGAAGCGGAAGGGAGAUCCCCGGAUGGAGAAAAAGCUCGUCUUAAGCGAGCGCAAACUGAUGACGAGGGAACGUCUGGAGUGAGAGAAAGUGAGGUUCUUUCGAAAAAGAGGCGAGUGCUUUCUCAGUUUGAAGACCUGCAAGAUUGUUAUUUGCAAAAGCGAAAGCAAUCACAAGAUCCUAGUGAGACAGGCGAGAGCUUGUCGAGUCAUGCCACAGGAUUGGAAGACUUCCAAGCCGUUCUUAAUUCUUUCACGCGAUACAGCCAGCUCCGGGUGGUCGCUGAAGUACGACAUCCUGAUCUUUUCCAGAAUUCCAAUAUAGUCUCCAGCAUAGAGUUUGACAGGGACGACGAGUUCUUCGCUACUGCGGGAGUGUCCCGUAGGAUAAAAGUGUUCGAGUACUCUGCCGUUGUUAAUAGCAGCGCGGACGUGCAUUAUCCGGCGAUGGAGAUCCCUUCGCGUGCGAAGCUCAGCUGCCUCAGCUGGAACAAAUGCAUCAAACACCACAUUGCGAGCAGCGACUACGAUGGGAGUGUCACCAUAUGGGACGUGAAUAAUGCGCAGAGUAUCAUGGAGUACGAAGAGCAUGCCAAGCGAGCGUGGAGUGUCGAUUUUGCUAGAACCGAUCCCAAUUUACUUGUUUCUGGCAGUGACGAUGGCAAGCUCAAAGUGUGGUCUACUCGACAGGAGAGCAGCGUCAUGGGAAUCGACAUGAAAGCCAACAUCUGCUGCGUCAAGUUCAAUCCCAGCUCCAGCAAUUUUGUAGCGGUACUCUUUUUCUAUCUCUUGUUGGAUCGGCCGAUCACCGCAUACAUUACUACGAUUUGCGCUCUCCUGCUUCGCCAGUCCACACCUUUAGCGGCCACCAAAAGACCGUCUCGUACGUGAAGUUCAUCACGCCGGAGGAGCUCGUGUCCGCAUCGACUGAUAGCACCUUGCGGAUCUGGAAUGUCAGAACCAACACUCCGAUUAGAACGCUAACUGGGCAUAUCAACGAGAGGAACUUCGUUGGUUUGAGCGGUAACAGUGACUACGUAACCUGUGGAAGUGAAACCAACGAAGUGUUCGUGUAUCACAAGGCGAUCUCUAGACCAGCAACUCGACACCGAUUUGGAAGCUUAGACGACUCAUUGCAUUUCAUCAGCGCCGUGUGUUGGAAGAGCGACAGUCCAACUUUGUUAGCCGCCAAUAGCCAGGGAACCAUCAAAGUUCUAGUUAUGGCCGCCUAACGACGAAGUUUUGUUAGCUUUUUGUUAGCCAGGAGAAUCGAACGCGAGAUAUAAAGCAAACCGAGAGAAUUUAGGGUU